rnacentral:tRNA from 1 species
GGAUUGUGGCUCAGCGGUAGAGCGCUCCCCUAGCAAGGGCGGGGCCUGGGUUCAAUCCUCAGCACCA